UACGUAGGGGGCUAGCGUUGUCCGGAAUCAUUGGGCGUAAAGCGCGUGUAGGCGGUCCGGUAAGUCCGCUGUGAAAGUCGGGGGCUCAACCCUGGAAGGCCGGUGGAAACUGUCGGGCUAGAGUCCGGAAGAGGAGAAUGGAAUUCCUGGUGUAGCGGUGAAAUGCGCAGAUAUCAGGAGGAACACCGGUGGCGAAGGCGGCAUCCUGGACCAAUUCUGACGCUGAGGAGCGAAAGCCAGGGGAGCAAACGGG
rnacentral:rRNA from 1 species